AUCCUUACGUGGACGGAGUCAAAUCGGUGAUCACAAAGGCCAAUGGCGUAGGGUGGCUGUCCUCAUUGCACUUAGAAGAUGGGUCACCUUAGCAUCUCCCCAACUGUAUAAUUAAAAGUAACUUUUAUCAUAACAAAUGUUUGUAUGAUAGAGUUUCUAUUUUCUAUUUG
rnacentral:snRNA from 1 species